GGCUCUCACCCCAUAUCCCCCCGUUAGCUCUCCGCCUCUCCCCCCCUAAAAAUCCCAAAUCACCCGUCACCGGCGGCCACGACCGCACCCGGCGAGCAAGGUGUACAUGUUCCGGCCAUUGAUCUUGGCUGCGUGAAACUGAGAUGCUCAGCACGAGCACACCAGCCGCUGGCCGCCGGGCGAUAUGCAGGAUCUGGGAUGGGAGGCACAAGCUCCGGCAGCGCCCGGUGUUGGAUCCAACCAAACAGCGGGCGAAGCGCCGCCGAAGCUGUCUGUCCGAUCUACUCGCGAUUUUUUAGCGCAUCCGACGGAGACCGCGCCUUCCUUCAUCACGAUUUUAGCCUUGUGACACAGGGCAACAAAAUCCUACUUUAAAGAGUGAUGGCUGAAACGAACAGCCCUGCAACCAUGGAAGCACAAGCACAGGUUGCCUUGACGAAAUCCAUCCAACCAGACACCAGCAACGAGGAAAUGACAUCAGGCAAUGUUGCCGGUAACAAUGUUUUACUGCCAUUAUCCAACAGAACUGAAGCUCCUACUCCGAGGCAUGUGAUUGUCACUAUUUCGCUCGAUGCUGGCCAGAACACAAUGGUUGACGACAAUGGUGUUAGACAGGGAUUAACAGACGAGGAAUCCGAUACUAAAACGAAGCUGUUGGAAAGAGGUGUUCUCACGGCUGCCUCUGCUACUGCAGCAAUGCUCUCUCAUUUCCUGAAAGGAGUAUUCAAUCAUCACCAAGAGGGUUACUACAUCAUCCUCGUCGUAUUUCUUAUGACGGGGUUGAUUCUGGCAACCACUGCCACAUGGCUCGCCCGUAGGCACUCCGCCAAGGUGGUUGUCCUUCUUGCACUAGUCCCACAGGUUCUUGUGGCUGGUGUGAUUACCUCAACAUUUUCUUGACGAAGGCCUUCGCCCUGACUCUUGCGGUUUGUUCCACUUUGAACUUUGGAAUCAUCAUCGUGAGCCAAGUGCGGAUCCAGAAUUCUAAUAGAGGGAGAGCUUAUAUCCUCCUCCCCACGCACACACGCUCUUCCUUCUCUCUCUUCUUCCUCCUUUAUCAUCUUCUCUCAAUAAUGAUCUAGCGAGGUAGAAGAAGACUUGAGUGAUGAGUCCCACCAGUAUCCACGUUGGAUCUGUUCCUGUUGUGAGUGUAUAGCUACAUCUACAAGGGUCGAGAGUUACAAUUAUGCAUGUGUAUCUAUGUGUUGAUGAAAAAUAUAUAUUUUUGAGAAAUGAAAUAUUUUCUUUUCAAGGCAUUAU